rnacentral:rRNA from 1 species
UGCGUAACGACGGUGGGAAUCUGCCUAGUGGUAAGGAAUAACCGCGGGAAACUGCGGCUAAUACCGUAUGAGCCCUACGGGGGAAAGAUUUAUCGCCAUUAGAGGGGCCCGCGUCCGAUUAGCUAGUUGGUGAGGUAACGGCUCACCAAGGCGCCGAUCGGUAGCUGGUCUGAGAGGAUGAUCAGCCACACUGGGACUGAGACACGGCCCUGACUCCUACGGGAGGCAGCAGUGGGGAGUAUUGGACAAUGGGCGCAAGCCUGAUCCAGCA